ACUUCAGUCCAAUAUUGAAACCAAUCUCCCUACCAUCCCCUCAUUAUCAGCAUCCUCUCAUCCCCUCAGCAUCAAGCAGUAUAUGCAAGGCAAGCCACACUCCUGGGGGUUCAAAGUAUGGGUGAGAGCUGGAAUCUCUGGCAUGAUGCUUGACUUUGAUGUGUUUGUGAUGUUUUCUUCACUUUGAUGUCAAAUGGUAUGACAACAGGGCAGUCACAUUUGUGUCAUCUUUCGCUGGACCAGAACCUGUGCAGAAGACUCAACGCUGGGACAAAGCCACCAAAACCUCCACUGAUGUUAAAAGUCCUUACAAUGCUCCUCUACAAGCGGCACUGCCAAGCUCUCAAGUUGCCAAAGAAGGAGAUACUGAACAUGAGAAAGGCCAGGCUCACCUAGCAUCCUCUCUCAUUCUGGUGGACACUGUUCCUGGGACUAGCUGUGUAAAUAAAUGUCAAAAGUUCUUGGUGUUGUAAUAAAUGACUGAGAUUAUUUUUUGUUCUACUGUUCUGGGCCAAAAGCUAAACCCUGCAAAUGAAUCCUUAGUUCUGUAAUGUUGUUCAUACAAUGAGUACAAAUACAGGAGAUUCUUCUCCGCAUUGAGCCCAACGUUGCAAUUGUUGCAGGUACCGGUUGGCACCAUUAGACAGCUUAAAUGCUCUCUCUGAAAACA